AGAGAGACAGAGAGACAGUGAGAGGGAGAGAGCAUGUAUGUGCUGAUGCUCACAGAGGCCAGCAAAGGGCAUCAAAUCCCCUGGAGGUGGAGUUACAGUGGGCUGUGAGUCACUCAUCAUGGGCGCUGGGAACCAACCGGGUCCUCAGCGAGAUCAGCAAGUGUUCCUAGAGCUAAGCAGUGUCUCCAGGGCAAAUCUCAACUCCUCACUUUGACUCUAGGGAGCAUCAUGGGUGGGUUCUCCUUUCCCUGAGAGAACAUGGAACACAGAUGGACUCCCCCACACACCGGGACCCUGAGCCAAGACCAUCUCGCAUUCACCACAUGGGUCAGCGGCACUGUGGGCUCUCCGCUCUCAUCUGGUACCUCCCACAAGAGAGACAACAGGACACAGCACAGGAUUGGCGCCACUGGACCUCCCCAGACAGGACUGGAUUGUCUUCAGGGGCCCCCAGGGAGCACAGAUCUCAUCAUGUGAUGCCACUCUCCUAUUCACAACACCUAAACAUGAAACAAAGGGCACGCACGUUGCUGGAAUGCAAUUACGGUCCUUAAUGAAUUAAUAACAGAGCUAUGAUCCCCAGCAAGCAAAGAAUGCAGACAAUAAAACAAGCCACUGGGCCUCUGGGUUUGAAAACGGCACCUGCGUGACCACCCACAAGACUCUGGGAAGCUUUGGACUGGAAACUCCGUGAAGAACUUCUGGUGCUGAGAAAGAAAGCCCAGGAUCAGAAUCUCAGUACACACUGUGAGCGAUGGAAGCGUCUCCACACAGUGACAACUCCCUCAGAUCCCAGCUGCUCCUCUGUAAAAGAUUUUUAUUGAAUCUUGGCCAGAUUUUUUUUAAGUAGCUGUUGUUUCACACCUGCUCUUUUGACAGUUAGCAGAGGUGUGCAUUUGUUGUAAGCUCCUUGAUUCCUGGCUGUGUUAUACCGCUGUGACAGACACUCACACACACACACACACUCACACAUGCACGCACGCACGCACGCACGAAGAAGGUCUUAAAUAGCGUAUGGCAGUUAUGUGACAGACACCUUAAACUGAAUACAAAUGUAGUCACGUGACACAUUUGUAGAAAUAAAUCUGCCCAAGGUCAUGGCUGAGAAUUCUCUUCUGUGUAGGCAGCUGAGAGAGUGCUUCAUAGUUUAGUUGUGGAG